ensembl:lncRNA
GAUGAGCCGACAUCUUUGUUAUGGGCAAGGUGCGCCAACCGCUUCUCCUGUUUACAAGAUUUUCAAGCAAAUAUCCACAGCAGACUGUGCCUAUUGAUGUCAAGCAGUAUUCCUGGGGCCACGUCUCAUCCAGCCCAAGGUCCCUCUGCCUCAACACCAACAGGCUUACUGCACCUCAUGUGAGGACAGGUGGGCAUGGGAAGACAGAGGAGACCAGAGGGGAAAAGAAGCAAGAUGGUCACGAGAAGAUUGAAAGACGUCAAAUGUUACUUUCAUUCUUUCAUCGUAUUUAGAAGUAGAUCCUCUACCUGGGUUUCCUCUUCUGCCAGGUGGACCUCGAUCUCCUUUUUGGCCAGGGAUGAUUGAACCAGGAAAGCCUGGUGGCCCUUGAGGUCCUGUCAUGCCAAUGGGCCCUCGAGGCCCAGCAUCUCCCACUGGCCCUUUCCUGCCAGGGAGGCCCGGCAAGCCUGGGGCUCCCCUGUCUCCUUUGGCUCCUGCAAAGAAAAACGCCUGAUAAGUUCCUGUAAUGCCCCUAUAUGUGGUGUUAUAGUUUGUGGUUAUCCCUAAUAAUGUAGACACUUUGAUUAAAGGUGUUAAGCUUCACAAGAUAUUUUUUUUUAAGCGGCUGAUAAAAGAGGUACAGGUCUACAAGGACUGGGUCUAGACUAGACUCAGUCCUGACUCCAACUAGCUGUUUGAUCCUGAUAAAGUCUCUUCACUGUUACAAGUCUCCGUUUUCUUAUUUAAAAAAUGAAGGUGAGGCCUCUUGCCUUCCAAGAUGGCCCACACUCUGUCUAUGGAGUGUGUAUCUCCCUGAAUAAACCUUCUUUCACUUUGUCUUGCUCUUGAAUUCUUGCCUGCACAAAGCCAAGAACCCACACUUGGCGGCCAUCCCAGGGACUCAGACAUGACUUGGGAUGUGACCAUCCUCUCGCACCCCAAUCUCUUUCCUGCAACAUCUUUUCUGGCACCCAGUGCGGGGCCUCAAAGGCCAUAAUCUCGAUCCGCCUAUUGGGCUAUGGCUCCCCUCUGAAGGGUGGCUGGGCCUUAUCCUGAGCCAUGGAGAUUCGAGUAGCCCGUUAAGUGGCAGCUGACGUCGCCUGCAGGGUCUGGCAGAGACCAGCUCUCUGGCCGUGAAGAAGCGCACUGAGGCCAAGGCUUUUCCCCCUCAGUCUUUCUCAUUCUCCUAUUGCUCUAUCUCUUCGGACGUGAAAAGAUCCACCCAGAUGACCACCAAACAUCCAAAUUAAGACUGCGCGGCAAGUAAUUGACAACUUGGUUGGGUCUAAAGAACUCCUGCCAGGGGGCUUAUCUGGUGGCGCAGUGGUUGAGAAUCUGCCUGCCAAUGCAGGGGACACGGGUUCGAGCCCUGGUCUGGGAGGAUCCCACAUGCCGCGGAGCAACUAGGCCCGUGAGCCACAACUACUGAGCCUGAGCGUUUGGAGCCUGUGCUCUGCAACAGGAGAGGCUGCGAUAAUGAGAGGACCGCGCACCGCGAUGAAGAGUGGCCCCCGCUUGCCGCAACUAGAGAAAGCCCUCUCAGAGAAACGAAGACCCAGCACAGC